GGAGGGAGAGUGUUCACAUCAGAUGUGCAAAGGCCCAGGGGCACAGAGACCCCCAAGGCCUGUAUGAUUGGAGGGCAAGGAGUGGGCGGUAGCCUGAGGGGGGACAGUAGCAAGACUCUGCACAGCCUGAAAGGCCACUUUAAGGUUUGGGGUCUUCUCCCCAUAGCAGGGAGUAGUGAAGGGCACGGGGCAGUAGCCAAGGUGAUGGGACCAGGUCUGUUUUCACACUGAGCCUCCGGCUGGGCGCAGUGGUGCAGGCCUGUAAUCCCCGCUGAGGCCCGAGGAGCUGAGUUCAAGGCCAGCCUCAGAAACUGGGCACGAAAGGGCUGGGGAGGUGGCUCCGUGGUCAACACACACACACACACACACACACACACACACACACACUGACCCCAGGCGUGGCGUGAGGCUGGGAGUGUUUGCUUCAGCUUGGAGGGAGGGCCACUCCCCGGGCAGGAGAGGAGGGGACAACCAGGGCCACAUCCACAGCUGCGUGACGUCCUUCAUUCAUUUGACCCGUGUUUACUGAACACAGCUCUGUGCUGGAGCCCCGCGAAUGACAACGAGGCACCGUCCUCGGGGACCCUACAGGGAAGGGCAGCGUCCCCUGAUAUUUCUGGAGGUCGCCUCCCGUGAGCAGCAUGUGGGCGGCCGUGGUAACUGGCGCUUACCCACGGGAGGAGAAGACGAGCGGGGGGUCUGGAUAUAAGCAAGAGAACCCCAUCACUCAAGCCAGUCAAGGGGCUGGGUGAAAGGCCACAGGACAGAGCAGGUCCCGAGGGAUCAAGAGUCCUCAGGCCUGUGUCACUCUCCUGUGAAGCCCCUCAAGGUGGGUUCCCACGCCCACUCACUUCCCAUCCUAGGUCAACUUUUCUGGAGCAGGAACCUGAGUGGUCUCAGCUUGGGUGACUGUGGAACAGAGGGCCGCCCCCAGCAGCCUGCAAGACUGACACUCUUUCUACUCUGCAGUGAGUGAACACAAAUUCAGAGAAGUGAAGACACUUUCCCAAGGUCACACAGCCCAGCAGCCAUGCAGAAGCGUAAAGGGUCCAGGCUGAUGAUGACAUGAAGGGGCACCAUCCCAAACGUCAGGGGCACCAUACUCCCAGCCCUUUAUUUUGGUGAAAACACAAGCUCCAUCUGAGGAUCCAGUAGCCUUGGAGCAACAUCAAUGGCUAGCUUAUGGGGUACCAGGCACAGGCUCUGCGCCCCUCCACCCGUUAACUUCUCCACCUUCCCAGCAAUCCCCUGGCUGGUCCUCGUCACGCAUCACCAGGACGAUGACAUGCAAUGAGCCUUGGAGAAGCCACGCUGCUAGGAGCAGGGAGUACUAGGGCGUGUUCAAAAUCAACCCACCAGAAGGUGGUUGUCAUCAGAGUCAGUUAGCUCUCCUUAUGAGGCUCAGAGUGGUGCAGUGACUUGCUCAGCAUCACACAGCUACCAAAGGGCAAAGGAAGUUGCUGCCCCAGGAAGCCCCCACCCCCAGGAGCUGAAGCAGCCUCCUGUGGGAAGCAGCCAGGAGCAGAGCCCCAGCCCAUGAGGCCACAGUCACAGCAGCCUGAAACCGUCCUCGCCAGGCGAGCCUUCAGAUGACAUCUCAGCCUCAGUGGGAAACUCAAUUGCAACCUCAUGAAGGAGAGGACCCAGAGUCCUGCCUGAGUCUCUGCCCCACAGAAACUGCGGGAUGAUAAACCUCGAGUGGCCUCAGCCACUAGAUCUGGGGUGAUCUGUCACAUAGCCACAGAUGACUAAUGCCUGUCCCAGCCAGUCCCCCCACAGCCCUGGGCUGUGUGUUGGUGACUCCCUUUUAGGGAUGGGGAGACCGAGGCACAGAUUCUAUGUGCCACACACAGGUUCUGAGUAGAGCUGGACUCAAUGCUGGAUUGGCCCAACCUGGUACCUGCGCUGCCUGUUCCCUGUUCUCGACCUCCGACGUCAGCCAAGAUAUAAAAGUCAGUUAAAAAAAGGAGAAUCUGGAAUGUGGGGGAUCAUGUGAAUGCAAGCCGCGCAUGCAAAUCCUCUUCAUCUGUCCAUCACCCGGACACUGAUUCACUCUGUGCUGCCUGUGACCCCGUGGGAGGGGGCGUGUCCAUAAUCUCAGUCGGAGCGCCUUUGCCCUGCUGUUGCUGUCAUUCAGGUGGGGUCUCAGGAGGUACAGGUAUCACUGUGACUGGGGAGAGGGGCGGGUCAGGAGGUGGGCACGGGCACGUGUUCUCACCCCCUCCUGUUUCCUUUAAAAAAAAAAUUGAUAGCAGGGACUGAGCCCAGAGGUGCUUAACCACUGAGCCACACCCCAGCCCUUUUUAUUCUUUUAUUUUGAGACGUGUUCUCACUAAGUUGCUCAGGACCUCGAUAAAAUGCCAACGCUGGCUUUGAACUUGGGAUCCUCCUGCCUCAGCCUCCUGAGGCCAGCCCCCCUCCCACUUUCACAGUGGGAGAUUGGAAGUCAGCACAACCACAGAGCUACCUCCAAACAGGGCCCGGGAGCCAGUCAGGACCACAGUGCUGUGACUAAGUCACUGCAGAACCCUGGGGGGAGGUGGUACCUGGUGCCACUCUCUCCAGUGUCCCCACCUGCAGGCUGCAGGGUGAGCUCCUGGGAUUUGCGGCUGGUGGACUCUGGCAGGUAAGAAGAGUCCGCGGGUGCCGUCCAGUUCCUGCCGCUAGCUCCCAGCACUGCCCCAAGCCACUGAUAGGUCCUCCUGUCCCUCCCAGGAAUUCCCCUGCAGUGGCCGACCCUCCUGGGCUUGGCUUCUGCCCGGCUGAGGGCACCAGAGGAGAUGGGGCAGGGGGAGAGACAGCCCCUCCCCACUGAGACGUGGACCAAGACUCAAGAAGAGGAGCUGGGGCUUCUUUGAAUUUGAGUGGGACCCCUGGCGGGUUUCCGCAGGAUGGAGUCGAAAUCAACUCUUCAGAGAGACCCUGUGACUGCUUUUCUGCAAAACCCUAAAAAGGUGGCUAUUAUUAGGAGCCCAGAAAGGAGACGUAGAACACCACGAGGGAGCGGCCAGCUUAGAGGCCUGUGGGCUGGGAGCUUCCUGCAGCCUGGAGAGUCAGCAAGGCCGGCCAGGCAGCUGGGGAGGGAGGAGACCAUGGUGCUGGGAGCAGCAGAGCCUUCUGGAACCUUCCAGGGAGAGAAGCCGAGGGGCCGAGGAGAGGCCCAGCUGCAAACUCACGCAAUUCAAGAAGCCCCCGGAGACUUACAGACCUGUGCCUGACCUCAGGGUGCAGCAGGGAAGAGGCCACACUGCCGUCCCCAGUGGCCACAGUGCAGGAAGAGAUGGGCCCAGGAGGCAGCAGGAGGCCUUUCCAGGGGGGGGAUGGGGCAGUGAAACGUCACCAUUCUACGGAAUGCAGACUCACGGGGCCACCGAAGCAGAGGACCCCAGGCGUAGGGUAGGGCUGGAUGGUGACCACCCUGGACUCUGGGUCAGAAGCGUUCUCUCUAGGACCUGAAGGACAAGCAUUGAAGGGAGUGACCAGGGCAUCCUGGGACGGGAUGAUUGACAGGUGAGCUAACUUGGGGAUACAGAGAACAGCGGGGAGCUCCGCCUGGUAGGACCCGAUCAGUCCCCUGAAGAGGCCAGACAGCAGCAGGAGGUGACACCUGAGCUACUGGUGCUCUCUGAGACCUUCCUCAAGUAGGCAGAGCGAAGCUUCCAGGUGGACACGGUCGGAAGGCCCCGACCUGAGCAGGUCCAGCGUGUUGGGACAGCCAGGGUCACGGCCGCAUGGGAGUUUCCAUGCUGAGUGAGACCACAGACAAGGCCGCGGCCCGGGGUUGAUGCUCGCCAGCCUCAGACAGAGCCACGGAUCAGUCUCUCUCCUGAGGCAAGAAGACCCACUGCUGAGGCAGCAAGAAGUCCCCCAUCUGGGCAAGCGGUGGCCCCCCAGAUCCCAAACGCAACCAGGAGGCCCAGCCUGCUUAUGUUUCAAUUGAAUAAAAAUGAACAGACUUGA